GACGAACGCGGCGGCGUGCCUAAUACAUGCAAGUCGAGCGAAGUUUUUCUGGUGCUUGCACCGGAAAAACUUAGCGGCGAACGGGUGAGUAACACGUAAAGAACCUGCCUCAUAGACUGGGACAACUAUUGGAAACGAUAGCUAAUACCGGAUAACAGCAUUAACUGCAUGGUUGAUGUUUAAAAGUUGGUUUUGCUAACACUAUGAGAUGGCUUUGCGGUGCAUUAGCUAGUUGGUGGGGUAAAGGCCUACCAAGGCGACGAUGCAUAACCGACCUGAGAGGGUGAUCGGCCACACUGGGACUGAGACACGGCCCAGACUCCUACGGGAGGCAGCAGUAGGGAAUCUUCCGCAAUGGGCGAAAGCCUGACGGAGCAACGCCGCGUGAGUGAAGAAGGAUUUCGGUUCGUAAAGCUCUGUUGUUAGGGAAGAAUGAUGUGUAGUAACUAUACACAGUAGAGAC
rnacentral:rRNA from 1 species